UACGUAGGUGGCGAGCGUUGUCCGGAUUUACUGGGCGUAAAGGGCGUGCAGGCGGUUUGUUAAGUGCAGGGUGAAAGCUCCCGGCUCAACUGGGAGAGGUCCUUGCAUACUGGCGAACUCGAGGGAGGCAGAGGAAAGUGGAAUUCCCGGUGUAGUGGUGAUAUGCGUAGAUAUCAGGAAGAACACCCGUGGCGAAGGCGGCUCUCUGGGACGGUACCGACGCUGAGACGCGAAAGCGUGGGGAGCGAACAGG
rnacentral:rRNA from 1 species